GUCUGGCUGGCUCAGUUAGUAGAGCAUGAGACUCUUGAUCUCAGAUUGUGAGUGUAAGCCCCAUGCUGGGUG
rnacentral:tRNA from 1 species